rnacentral:rRNA from 1 species
UACGUAGGUCCCGAGCGUUGUCCGGAUUUAUUGGGCGUAAAGCGAGCGCAGGUGGUUUAUUAAGUCUGGUGUAAAAGGCAGUGGCUCAACCAUUGUAUGCAUUGGAAACUGGUAGACUUGAGUGCAGGAGAGGAGAGUGGAAUUCCAUGUGUAGCGGUGAAAUGCGUAGAUAUAUGGAGGAACACCGGUGGCGAAAGCGGCUCUCUGGCCUGUAAUUGACACUGAGGCUCGAAAGCGUGGGUAGCAAACAGG